rnacentral:rRNA from 1 species
AGAGUUUGAUCCUGGCUCAGGACGAACGCUGGCGGCGUGCCUAAUACAUGCAAGUCGAGCGGAGUUAUGAGGGAGCUUGCUCCCGAUUAACUUAGCGGCGGACGGGUGAGUAACACGUAGGCAACCUACCCUCUAGACUGGGAUAACUACCGGAAACGGUAGCUAAUACCGGAUAAUUCCUUUGCCCUCCUGGGCUUAGGAUGAAAGGCGGAGCAAUCUGCUACUAAAGGAUGGGCCUGCGGCGCAUUAGCUAGUUGGUGGGGUAACGGCCUACCAAGGCGACGAUGCGUAGCCGACCUGAGAGGGUGAACGGCCACACUGGGACUGAGACACGGCCCAGACUCCUACGGGAGGCAGCAGUAGGGAAUCUUCCGCAAUGGGCGAAAGCCUGACGGAGCAACGCCGCGUGAGUGAUGAAGGUUUUCGGAUCGUAAAGCUCUGUUGCCAGGGAAGAACGUCCGGUAGAGUAACUGCUACCGGAGUGACGGUACCUGAGAAGAAAGCCCCGGCUAACUACGUGCCAGCAGCCGCGGUAAUACGUAGGGGGCAAGCGUUGUCCGGAAUUAUUGGGCGUAAAGCGCGCGCAGGCGGCUAUUUAAGUCUGGUGUUUAAACCUUGGGCUCAACCUGAGGUCGCACUGGAAACUGGGUGGCUUGAGUACAGAAGAGGAAAGUGGAAUUCCACGUGUAGCGGUGAAAUGCGUAGAUAUGUGGAGGAACACCAGUGGCGAAGGCGACUUUCUGGGCUGUAACUGACGCUGAGGCGCGAAAGCGUGGGGAGCAAACAGGAUUAGAUACCCU